rnacentral:rRNA from 1 species
ACAGUCCUACCAACCCCAAAUGCACCUAAUCUUGUCUGAUCUCAGAAGUGAAGCAGGAUCAGCUCUGGUUAGUACUUGGAUAAGACAAAGUAACAACAAUAAUGGGAUAAGUGUGUUCAAAGCAAGUAGGUGUAUUUU